rnacentral:ncRNA from 2 species
UUUGGGGUAGAAACUAGCGCGUUAAGUGCCAAUGGAACGGAAUGUGAACAUUGGACGAAAAGUAUUUACUUGCGGUGCUAGUUUCGCAUUCGCCACU